rfam:Gossypium raimondii Chr10_contig_36, whole genome shotgun sequence.
UAUUAAAAAUUUCAUCUAUUUCUACUGUUAAAAAUUGACAUGGUUGACAAAAUAACAAAAAAAUGACACGUGCCAAUGUAUAGAGACCAAAUUUUAACAGUAGAAAUGGAUGGAAUUUUUCACA